UACGUAGGGGGCAAGCGUUGUCCGGAAUCAUUGGGCGUAAAGCGCGUGUAGGCGGCCCGGUAAGUCCGCUGUGAAAGUCGGGGGCUCAACCCUCGGAUGCCGGUGGAUACUGUCGGGCUAGAGUGCGGAAGAGGCGAGUGGAAUUCCUGGUGUAGCGGUGAAAUGCGCAGAUAUCAGGAGGAACACCAAUUGCGAAGGCAGCUCGCUGGGACGUGACUGACGCUGAGACGCGAAAGCCAGGGGAGUGAACGGG
rnacentral:rRNA from 1 species